rnacentral:rRNA from 1 species
UACGUAGGUGACAAGCGUUGUCCGGAUUUACUGGGCGUAAAGAGCGCGCAGGCGGUCGUUCAAGUCGAGUGUGAAAGCCCCCGGCUCAACUGGGGAGGGUCACUCGAUACUGAUCGACUCGAAGGCAGGAGAGGGAAGUGGAAUUCCCGGUGUAGUGGUGAAAUGCGUAGAUAUCGGGAGGAACACCAGUGGCGAAGGCGGCUCACUGGCUCGUAACUGACGCUCAUGCACGACAGCGUGGGGAUCAAACAGG